GACGAACGCUGGCGGCGUGCUUAACACAUGCAAGUCGAACGGAAAGGCCCUGCUUUUGUGGGGUGCUCGAGUGGCGAACGGGUGAGUAACACGUGAGUAACCUGCCCUUGACUUUGGGAUAACUUCAGGAAACUGGGGCUAAUACCGGAUAGGAGCUCCUGCUGCAUGGUGGGGGUUGGAAAGUUUCGGCGGUUGGGGAUGGACUCGCGGCUUAUCAGCUUGUUGGUGGGGUAGUGGCUUACCAAGGCUUUGACGGGUAGCCGGCCUGAGAGGGUGACCGGCCCCAUGGGGACUGAGAUACGGCCGAGACUCCUACGGGAGGCAGCAGUGGGGAAUAUUGCACAAUGGGCGGAAGCCUGAUGCAGCAACGCCGCGUGCGGGAUGACGGCCUUCGGGUUGUAAACCGCUUUCGCCUGUGACGAAGCGUGAGUGACGGUAAUGGGUAAAGAAGCACCGGCUAACUACGUG
rnacentral:rRNA from 1 species